rnacentral:tRNA from 1 species
CUGGGUGUGGCGCAGUUGGUAGCGCGCUACCUUGGGGUGGUAGAGGCCGUAAAUUCAAGACUUGUCACUAAGACCA